GGUGAAGUAGCUCAGCUGGCUAGAGCAUUCGGUUCAUACCCGAAGGGUCAGGGGUUCAAGUCCCUUCUUCACUACCA
rnacentral:tRNA from 1 species